GAAUAUUGGACAAUGGGGGGAACCCUGAUCCAGCCAUGCCGCGCGUGUGAAGAAGGCCUUUUGGUUGUAGAGCACUUUAAGCGAGGAGGAGGCUAGUUAGAUUAAUACUCGAGGAUAGUGGAAGUUACUCGCAGAACAAGCACCGGACAACUCGGAGCCAGCAGCCGCGGUAAUACAGAGGGUGCAAGCGUUAAUCGGAUUUACUGGGCGUAAAGCGCGCGUAGGUGGCCAAUUAAGUCAAAUGUGAAAUCCCCGAGCUUAACUUGGGAAUUGCAUUCGAUACUGGUUGGCUAGAGUAUGGGAGAGGAUGGUAGAAUUCCAGGUGUAGCGGUGAAAUGCGUAGAGAUCUGGAGGAAUACCGAUGGCGAAGGCAGCCAUCUGGCCUAAUACUGACACUGAGGUGCGAAAGCAUGGGGAGCAAACA
rnacentral:rRNA from 1 species